UACAAAGGUCUCAAGCGUUGUUCGGAUUCAUUGGGCGUAAAGGGUGCGUAGGCGGCGCGGUAAGUCGGGUGUGAAAUCUCGGGGCUUAACUCCGAAACUGCAUUCGAUACUGCCGUGCUUGAGGACUGGAGAGGAGACUGGAAUUUACGGUGUAGCGGUGAAAUGCGUAGAUAUCGUAAGGAAGACCAGUGGCGAAGGCGGGUCUCUGGACAGUUCCUGACGCUGAGGCACGAAGGCCAGGGGAGCAAACGGG
rnacentral:rRNA from 1 species